UUGGUGACAGAACUGUGGGGACGCAGAAGGAGAGCACUACCUGGAAUGGAAUCCAGGGGCAAGCACAGGAGGGGUACGGCUGGAAAAACCGCCGUGCAACCCAAAGGUGUGACGCAUACCGAACUAAAGUAGGGAAAUGUGUGAGCCGGCUGCCGAGAAAAGCCGCUAUUGUUUGUACUGUACCCGUACCGUAAACCGACACAGGUGGAUGAGGAGAGAAUCCUAAGGCCGACGGAAGAAGCAUUGCUAAGGAACUCGGCAAAAUGACCCUGUAACUUCGGGAGAAAGGGUGCCUCGAAAGAGGCCGCAGAGAAUAGGCCCAAGCAACUGUUUAGCAAAAACACAGGUCUAUGCAAAACCGCAAGGUGAAGUAUAUGGGCUGACGCCUGCCCGGUGCUGGAAGGUUAAGGGGAGAUGUCAGGAGACGAAGCAUCGAACUUAAGCCCCAGUAAACGGCGGCCGUAACGAUAACGGUCCUAAGGUAGCGAAAUUCCUUGUCGGGUAAGUUCCGACCCGCACGAAAGGUGUAAUGAUUUGGGCGCUGUCUCGGCAAUGCAUCCGGUGAAAUUGAAGUGCCAGUGAAGAUGCUGGCUACCCGCGCCAGGACGGAAAGACCCCAUGGAGCUUUACUCCAGCUUGAUACUGGGAUUCGGUAUUGUAUGUACAGGAUAGGUGGGAGGCUGAGAAAUGGUGACGCCAGUCGCCAUGGAGCCGCUGUUGGGAUACCACCCUUGCAGUACUGGAUUUCUAACCAGCAGCCGUGAUCCGGCUGGGGGACAAUGUCAGGUGGGGAGUUUGACUGGGGCGGUCGCCUCCGAAAGGGUAUCGGAGGCGCUCAAAGGUUCCCUCAGAAUGGUCGGAAACCAUUCGAAGAGUGCAAAGGCAGAAGGGAGCUUGACUGCGACACCGACGGGUGGGGCAGGUACGAAAGUAGGACUUAGUGAUCCGGUGGUAUUAAGUGGGAAUGCCAUCGCUCAACGGAUAAAAGCUACCCUGGGAUAACAGGCUUAUCACUCCCAAGAGUUCACAUCGACGGAGUGGUUUGGCACCUCGAUGUCGGCUCAUCGCAUCCUGGGGCUGUAGUAGGUCCCAAGGGUUGGGCUGUUCGCCCAUUAAAGCGGUACGCGAGCUGGGUUCAGAACGUCGUGAGACAGUUCGGUCCCUAUCCGGCGUGGGCGUAGGAUAUUUGAGAGGAGCUGACCUUAGUACGAGAGGACCGGGUUGGACUGACCUCUGGUGCACCGGUUGUCAUGCCAAUGGCACAGCCGGGUAGCCAAGUCGGGAAGGGAUAAACGCUGAAGGCAUCUAAGCGUGAAGCCCCCCUCAAGAUGAGAUAUCCCCCGCAUAAGCGGUAAGACCCCUUGAAGACGACGAGGUAGAUAGGGCAGAGGUGGAAGUGCAGUAAUGUAUGGAGCUGACUGCUACUAAUACGUCGAAGGCUUAAC
rnacentral:rRNA from 1 species